rnacentral:SRP_RNA from 1 species
GCUGGGCGUGGUGGUGCGCGCCUGUAAUUCCAGCUACUCAGGGAGGCUGAGGCAGGAGAAUCGCUUGAACCCGGGAAGUGGAGGUGGCAGUGAGCCGAGAUCGUGCCACUGCACUCCAGCCUGGGCGACAGAGCGAGACUCAGUCUCAA